rnacentral:lncRNA from 1 species
UUACCUUCUUUCAACUCGAUUAACACACUGUCAUUGUUACCAAAGCUUUCCUAUUAUUUCUUCAAGUUCUUACUGCUCUUUAAAGAUCCUCUAGUAGAAUAAUGAAUUCUUAAUAACCUGGAACAUUUUGAUGAUUCAUACUUAAUUGUAUAGUACAAUUUACACGAGACAUACAACUAACACUUAAAUGUUUCCUAUUGUGUUGUUAACACUCUACAGUAACUUUGCAGCAAUCCAAAUACACAAGUCUUUGCAAUGUAACUUAUGACCUCUAAAAGCACAGAGAGCCAUAUUACAAUUAUCAUAUUCAUAGCCAAACCAAACUGAGUCAGCCUCUGUCAGCAGUUUCCAUACAGUUUUUAAUAAAAUGAAACAGAUACUUGUGCCUUCAGUAAAUAUCAAUGUGACCUCUAAACGUGAGUAAACCGGUCACUAGAUUAUGCAAGGAGUAACCUUUCAUAAUAAUGAGUCAUUGAGGCUUCUCUCUAAUGG